UCCUUAGUGUAAAAUUGAAUGUUCAUUGUAAUCAAAAUACUUUACAAGUGAAAAAAUAUAUCGCCCCACAAGUUAUCUUGUGUAAAUUGUAAACUAAUAUAUUUUACAUCUUAUAUAUGUAUUUAGGAAGGUAAUUGGUGGAAUGAGAGGAAUGACUGGACUGUUAUGGGAAACCUCAUUAUUUGACCCAGAAGGGUAUACACUUGAAAUUCUGGGUUAGAAUAUUACAUAUUUACUUUGGUUUUGGUGCAAUCAGAGUUUAUAGUUAUGUUUGCCUAUCUUCAUUAUGUAUGUUUCUGUUGGGUGUCCAUUUUAGGGGCCUAUCUAUUCCUGAAUGUCGAAGAAUUUUACAUGUUGUUAAGUGUGAUGGAGAACCACUGUAUGAGGAUCUUCUCUGGCUCCUUUUAACAUGAAAGGCAAGGGUGUUUGGAUCUUGCUGAAUUCAUUACUAGAAUGUGGUUAUCAACAAACAUGAGAAGUUGAUUCAAGGGUGGAGAAAAGAAUUGAAAGACCAACUAGACAAACAGUACCUAAUUGAAUUGGGAGAUAGUAUAGCUGAUAGCCAACAGGUUGUUUAACUAAAAUAUGACUUUCGCAAGUUGUCAUUGGCAUAAUUUUAUUAGUCUUUUGUACAACAUGUAGAGCAUUUUGAUAAGCAAAUCAGUUUUUCUUUGUUGACAAUCUUGUUUCAUGUAUUGUGAUAACAGCUGAAUUAAAAUUAGACACAGAAACAUUAGCUUUUGCUCUCUAUUAAUUGGACUUUGUUGCUUAGGGAAACCUAAGGAAUUAACAAUUCAUGAAAGAAAUUCUGAAGUUCGAUUAUGUGUGAGUGACAGUACAAUUCAUGGGAGCAUACUUUUUCUUUAUUUCCACGGGAAAGAAAGGACCGAAGGAGAGCCUUCUUGUGUUGUGUCGAAAAACUUGGCCUAAAAACCAUGCAUCUAUCUUUAAAUUAUAGUGCUAAUUUUUAUUGUUUCUUUAAA